UGCUGAGCACCUAGUAUGUUCCAGGCACCUACCACAGUGUGUGUGUGUGGGAGUGGAACAAAAGGUUGUGAACAUUCGAGGCAAUAGAAGAUAUAUCAUUGGGAUGGCUAAACUGCUAGAGAAGUAAAGAAAGUGUGAACAGUGCACCUAUGUCUUUGGAGGGGAAACUGGCCAAAACAGCAUCCCUGCAGUGGCCAACGAUGAUAACCGGGAAGAGCUGUGGCCAGUGUGAGGAGGAACCAGAGUCCUGGGAAUGUCAUGUCUGUCCAGAGCACAGCCCUGCUCAGAUCAGAAGGAAGCAAUAGUGAAAGCUUGGCAAGAAACAAGAGCAGCAGCAAGGACAAUAACAACAGCUACAGAGUCUGGGGCUAACCUGCUAGAAACCAAGGAUGAGAAAGAGCACCCCCUCAACAGUCCUCCACUGCGCCUGGGUUUUCUUGGGCAGGAAUGCUCACACAUGUCUUCAGGAACCACACAGCUGUGAGCAAAGCAGUUUUCCUGGCACCAAGCAGGAGGUUCCUGCUUCCCUAUGGCUCAUGUUCUCAUUCAGGAUUCAAGCCUGUCUUCAUCCAAGCAGAGGCACCUGGCCUGUCCCUUUUCGUUUCAGCAGCUCCCACCCCCAGCCUCAGCCACAAAAAGGAGGGCUGCUACCUGAGGAGCCUCCCUGAGCCCCCUGAUGAGCACAGAGUGCCUCCCAGACAACA